GCCUUAUCCGGAUUUACUGGGUGUAAAGGGAGCGUAGACGGUUUUGCAAGUCUGAAGUGAAAGCCCGGGGCUUAACCCCGGGACUGCUUUGGAAACUGUAGAACUAGAGUGCAGGAGAGGUAAGUGGAAUUCCUAGUGUAGCGGUGAAAUGCGUAGAUAUUAGGAGGAACACCAGUGGCGAAGGCGGCUUACUGGACUGUAACUGACGUUGAGGCUCGAAAGCGUGGGAGCAAACAGGAUUAGAUACCCUGGUAGUCCACGCCGUAAACGAUGAUUACUAGGUGUUGGUGGGUAGACCCAUCGGUGCCGCAGCAAACGCAAUAAGUAAUCCACCUGGGGAGUACGUUCGCAAGAAUGAAGCUCAAAGGAAUUGACGGGGACCCGCACAAGCGGUGGAGCAUGUGGUUUAAUUCGAAGCAACGCGAAGAACCUUACCUGGUCUUGACAUCCCUAUGAAUAACGGGCAAUGCCGUUAGUACUUCGGUACAUAGGAGACAGGUGGUGCAUGGUUGUCGUCAGCUCGUGUCGUGAGAUGUUGGGUUAAGUCCCGCAACGAGCGCAACCCUUAUCUUUAGUAGCCAGCAGUAAGAUGGGCACUCUAGAGAGACUGCCGGGGAUAACCCGGAGGAAGGUGGGGAUGACGUCAAAUCAUCAUGCCCCUUAUGACCAGGGCUACACACGUGCUACAAUGGCGUAAACAAAGAGAAGCGAAGUCGUGAGGCAGAGCGAAUCUCAAAAAUAACGUCUCAGUUCGGAUUGUAGUCUGCAACUCGACUACAUGAAGCUGGAAUCGCUAGUAAUCGCAGAUCAGAAUGCUGCGGUGAAUACGUUCCCGGGUCUUGUACACACCGCCCGUCACACCAUGGGAGUCGGAAAUGCCCGAAGUCGGUGACCUAACCGCAAGGAAGGAGCCGCCGAAGG
rnacentral:rRNA from 2 species